rnacentral:rRNA from 1 species
GAACGAACGCUGGCGGCAGGCCUAACACAUGCAAGUCGAACGCCGUAGCAAUACGGAGUGGCAGACGGGUGAGUAACGCGUGGGAACAUACCCCUCGGUUCGGAAUAACUCAGGGAAACGUUGAGCUAAUACCGGAUACGUCCGAGGUUUUGAUCGACCUUGGAGAAGAUUUAUCGCCGAAGGAUUGGCCCGCGUCUGAUUAGCUUGUUGGUGAGGUAAUGGCUCACCAAGGCGACGAUCAGUAGCUGGUCUGAGAGGAUGAUCAG